GCAUAUCAAUAAGCGGAGGAAAAGAAACCAACAGGGAUUGCCUCAGUAACGGCGAGUGAAGCGGCAACAGCUCAAAUUUGAAAUCUGGCCCCCCUCGGGGCCCGAGUUGUAAUUUGUAGAAGAUGCUUCGGGUGUGGCCCCGGUCUAAGUUCCUUGGAACAGGACGUCAUAGAGGGUGAGAAUCCCGUAUGUGACCGGUGGCCUCCCCCGUGUGAAGCUCUUUCGACGAGUCGAGUUGUUUGGGAAUGCAGCUCAAAAUGGGUGGUAAAUUUCAUCUAAAGCUAAAUAUUGGCCAGAGACCGAUAGCGCACAAGUAGAGUGAUCGAAAGAUGAAAAGCACUUUGGAAAGAGAGUUAAACAGUACGUGAAAUUGUUGAAAGGGAAGCGCUUGCAACCAGACUUGCGCGCGGCCGAUCAUCCGGUGUUCGCACCGGUGCACUCGGUCGCGCUCAGGCCAGCAUCGGUUUGGGUGGCUGGAUAAAGGCCUCGGGAAUGUGGCUCCCCUCGGGGAGUGUUAUAGCCCGAGGUGCAAUGCAGCCUACCCGGACCGAGGACCGCGCUUCGGCUAGGAUGCUGGCGUAAUGGUUGUAAGCGACCCGUCUUGAAACACGGACCAAGGAGUCUAACAUCUAUGCGAGUGUUUGGGUGUCAAACCCAUACGCGUAAUGAAAGUGAACGGAGGUGAGAACCCUUAAGGGUGCAUCAUCGACCGAUCCUGAUGUCUUCGGAUGGAUUUGAGUAAGAGCAUAGCUGUUGGGACCCGAAAGAUGGUGAACUAUGCCUGAAUAGGGUGAAGCCAGAGGAAACUACUGGUGGAGGCUCGCAGCGGUUCUGACGUGCAAAUCGAUCGUCAAAUUUGGGCAUAGGGGCGAAAGACUAAUCGAACCAUCUAGUAGCUGGUUCCUGCCGAAG
rnacentral:rRNA from 1 species